UUGUACACACGAAAUCACUGGUGCACCACGCCUACGUUUUUGUCUCGGAUUUUUUAUCCCACGAAAAUGACCUGCUAUACAGUAUGUACUGAUUAUGGCUUAGGCAAAAUACACAAUGGAGUCUGUUCCGUGAGUAAUCAUUCCCUAGAAGUGAGUGUCUACUGUAUGUAUGAGACUGUGUACAGUGUAGUAAGAAGUUUCACUCUUACAAAUGAAUAUACCGAUAAUACGUGCCUAAAAUUUAUGCCUGUGGGCUUACAUUACAAGCAUACUAGUAUUAACAACAUGUCCAAUUAACAACGCCAUCACGCUAUAGUAUAAGUGUACAUAAGAAAUACAUGCAUGUACCAUGAUUGUGACCUUUCUCCAAGAAGUAACCCAUACAAAGUGCCCACCCAAAAGGUCCACCUAUAGCAGUACGCAUUAAUAUGCUCCUUUAAAAUGGUUUCAGUAUAUUGCUGCAAGUUUCUUAGCCAUGCAAUUUUGAGAGGCCGCUAAUAGCAAGUAGACUGAUCAUGUGCAUAUAAGAGUGCCAGAUACCUGGUUCUUCUGCACCCUCGAUAAUAUAUGUACACGUGUAGUUGUCUGCACUCGCUCCCUAUAUACCCGGGUACAUGUACAUGUAUUAAAUUAAUAAUAACUUUAUGGCUGACUUUGACAGAGCACCCUCGAAUAGCUAUAAUUGUAAGCACUGCAAUAUGUCCUAGGACUACCAACAUGUAUGUCUGUUUCUGAAUUAGUAUCUGGUCAUCUGCUUAUUCAGUGUCUACUAAUUAAUGUAUAUUGGAGCUCUUUUCUCAACCUCACAACUUAAAGUCUUAUAUAUAAUUAGAUAUUCUGUCACGUACCUCUAGGGAAAGCUCAGAAUUCUGGAGAAUUAGACAAACAGCUGUGAUAAGUCAGCGCUACCAAAGGUGAGCUCACUCACUUUAAGAGUACAAUUAAUGGUUGCACACCAAGUGGUGUGUUUGUGAGGUCAUUAGUUAUGUGGUACAAAAGAGUACGUUUCAAAUCCAGUGCUUUACAGUUCUCAUUCUCCUCACAGCAGCUGUCCAGACGGAGGACCAUGUGUCCGAGUCUUCUCUCACAUGACACUGCGUCCCACCAGCCCUGGUCUGAGGCCCCUCCCCCCACAACCUCCUUUCUCACUUUAGCCCCACUCAAAUCCUCGACCACGUCCGUAUUUUUUGCUCUAAGAUCAUGUGACGAGUCCUAAGUACACCAGGUUUAUGAAGUUCCUGCAUGAUCAGGAGGUGAGAGGGAAUGUUUAGCUGUUGCUUUAUGUAGCUAUUUGUGUACAUGCAUGUGUUUAGUUUCCUGUCAUAAACACUGUUUGUACAUGUACGUGUUCUAUGUAAAAGUACUUAGUGUGAUUCUGGCGCCUUUGUAAAACUUAAUUAUUGUAGUCUUUGAGUAGACUAAUAGUGGCUGUAUUAUAGAGGAUGACCUGCGUGACCACAAUAGACUGCACGGUUUCACUGCAUUACUAGUGUUUAAGCUUCCAUAUACUUCCCCUUUAUUAUGCAGCCCCAUGUUGACUACCUCCCUGGUCAAGUGUUUGAGGGUGGUGGCUGACACCUGUCACGCAUCAGUGCUAGAGACGGCGUUCCCAGGGCAACAGCUGGAUAUCGCCCUACUCUGGCAUUGUCUCGUAGAUCACCAUGCCAACAAAGACAAGAUUCCUCUCGACACGUACGUGGUGCAUGUGUGUGUGUACCUUGGUAUGUUCAGUGUGCAUUUGAGGCAUACUUGUCAGUUAUACAUGUAAGUACAUGUGUGUGCAUAUUUUGAGCUUUGUCUUAAUUUUCACCGUGUACACAAUCAAUGAUAGUGUGGUUGUGUAUAAUUAUGGUGUACAGUGCUUACAGGUCAUGUACACGUAUUUAUAGAGUACUGCACCGUUAACUCCUCCCUCCCCUUGUGCAGUGAUUGGGUGAGUCUGGAGGCUGUCGGGCUCUCACUGGGUAUGGUUUCGAAAGAAUUCCUCUCUAAAACAGUCAACUCCUCUUCACCAAUCUCCUGGAACUGGCCAAAGCUCUCUGCACUAGCCCUGCUAACACACUCGCUUUCUACCAACUCGUAUUUCUCCUGACACUGGAAUUCUUUUAUCAAGGGCUCUCAGAUAUACUGGUCUUUCCUACACCAGCUGCAAGAGCUUGCUGUGAAGGAGAAAGGCCUUGAAGCACAUCACAGAGUGGUGCUACAUGCUACAGUGGCGGGUGUGCUGCAUCUAGCGUCCAAGAUUAGUCGAAAUGAGGUACUCAAGAUGACGCACAUCGAUGGAGUGAUUGCUAAGAGGAGGGAGACAGCUCCUAAGGCUAUGGUUGGACAUUCUUCUAGAGGGGGGGGAAUUUUGGGAAAUCCGAGGGCUCCCACCCAUCUUCAUGAAACCCUGAUUGUAACCACAGCCACUUGAGAUACAAUGUGCUAGCCCCUUGUAAAGGUACUUGAUAAUUCAUUGCAAACAUCCUAAUUUAAGAUUUCACGACAGCCAGGGUUUAUACCUUUAUGUAUAGUGAUGUAAUAAGUAAUAAGAGGUGUGGUCAACAUUUUUCGGUGCACGUACACCUUCCCCCCCCCCAAGUUUUUAUCCUAUGAAACCCUGACAGCAUGUGACGAAGGUUGAACAGGCGGCCUACUACGGUUUUAAGUAUGUGGAGUUGCAUACUCUUCCUAAUGAAGUUGUUGCUAGUACAGUGGUUUUCCUUUGCAAGAGCACUGCAACCACAAUGUAGUGAUUACCUCUGUCUGUGUGUUAUUUUAAUCCACCCACAUGCACCACCCACACAUCACAAAAUCACAGUAAAGUGAUGCAUCUUACAGACUAUCUAUACUGCAGACUUUCACACAACUUAAAGAAUGUACUCUACUUGCACAGCAUUAUCAUUCCUCCUACUCAUUUAUACUUGAUGCUCGAGGUCAACAAGCUGCUUCUGGGAAAAUCAAAUUUUGAGCAACACAAGUUCCUUUCGGAUUUGAUUCACUACAUAUGCAGCGGUAGUUAGACCCGGAUAAAAUGCAUAGAUAGUAAAGAUAGUAAAUACAGGCCCUCAGCUCCCUAUACAUACAAGUUUGAGUUCAUAUCAUUUUGCCACAAUGAAUCAAGCAACAAGUUAGCUGAGCUACGUACCAUCGCAAUCACUUCAGUUAAACAAAGUAUGAGGAGAGUUGACGUACUGUACAGCUGGAAAUUUGGUAAUUAUUUGGCGAAUGCAAUACAAUACUAUAUACAGUGACGUUGUGUCCACCAGAACAUUUUAAUUUGGGAAUUUUUCAGUAAAUCGCCCAAUUAAAACACCCAUCAAAUUUCCUUAUUAUAAGGGGUUUACAUUUUACAGGCAAUUCCAAGUUAUGAUUUAGAUUGCUUUGUUGCCUUGUUAAUACCAGGAGCCCAUAAAUAAGAGAAGGAGCGGCUAACUUCAACGUAUACUCUGGGAUCACGUGUCGUAAUUGCCGGUGGCCUACAUUAUGCACUGCAUCUAUGUACAUUAAAUUAGUACAGGACUAGAUAAUUAUUUGUUGGUAAAAAAUAAUGAAUGAAAUGAAAUUAUGAAUUCUGAUUCGCCCAGGUUCAGGUUCAGACAUGUUGUGUUUGAGAUCACAUCAGGCAGAUAGAGAAGGUGGAGCUGGUCCUCCAGGUGAGGGUGUUUGUACAGGUAGAAUUAAUUUGGUAGGUACGUAAAGUGUUCGAGAAGUUUACUGCCUUGUGUCAGGUAUAGUGUUGGUAUGCUUGUACGGUGUAUGUAAGUACAUGUAUUCAUUUGUCUUACAAAUACAUGCAUUCUUUGUCUUAUACACCAGUUGAAGUGUUUCACUGUCCUCUCUUCUCCCCACACAGGACCUCCUUCAGCUGCAAUACGAGGGCCUGGCAAUCAUGAAGAUGUUUGGGAGGGCCAAAGUGAACGUUAAUCUGCUUAUCUUCCUCAUUAACAAAAUCGACAGAGCGUUAAAUUGGAUUCCCAUUAGCAAAUUGUGUUCAUUGACAGUUUUAUACGUACAGCUCUCUGUGACACACUGUAGGGAGAAUUGAAUUUAAACCAUCAUUAUUACUGUGCUAUAUUGACCAAUUCCAACUGAUUUGUUUUUUAGUUAUGUAAUGUGCUGACAUCCUUCUAGUCUUCUGUGCACUGAAGCAAAUAAUUGUUCUAGAAUAAAA